rnacentral:rRNA from 1 species
UACCGGCGGCUCGAGUGGUGGCCACUAUUACUGGGCUUAAAGCGUUCGUAGCUGGGUUGUUAAGUCUCUUGGGAAAUCUACCGGCUUAACCGAUAGGCGUCCAAGGGAUACUGGCAAUCUAGGGACCGGGAGAGGUGAGGGGUACUUCAGGGGUAGGAGUGAAAUCCUGUAAUCCUUGGGGGACCACCUGUGGCGUAGGCGCCUCACCAGAACGGCUCCGACAGUGAGGGACGAAAGCUGGGGGAGCAAACCGGAUUAGAUACCCGUGUAGUCC